CUUAGUGAUCCGGUGGUUCUGUAUGGAAGGGCCAUCGCUCAACGGAUAAAAGGUACGCCGGGGAUAACAGGCUGAUUCCUCCCAAGAGUCCACAUCGACGGAGGAGUUUGGCACCUCGAUGUCGGCUCAUCACAUCCUGGGGCUGUAGCAGGUCCCAAGGGUAUGGCUGUUCGCCAUUUAAAGUGGUACGCGAGCUGGGUUUAGAACGUCGUGAGACAGUUCGGUCCCUAUCUGCCGUGGGCGUUUGAGAAUUGAUGGGAGCUGCUCCUAGUACGAGAGGACCGGAGUGGACGUACCCCUGGUGUUCCGGUUGUCACGCCAGUGGCAUUGCCGGGUAGCUACGUACGGAACGGAUAACCGCUGAAAGCAUCUAAGCGGGAAACCGGCCCAAAGAUGAGUUCUCACUGGACCCUUGAGGUCCUUGUAGGUCCGUCGAAGACUACGACGUUGAUAGGCAGGGUGUUGAAGCACAGUAAUGUGUGAAGCUAACCUGUACUAAUUGACCGUAAGGCUUGACCAU
rnacentral:rRNA from 1 species